CAGCCUCCCAAGUAGCUGGGAUUACAGAUGUGUGCCACCACACAUGGCUAAUUUUUUUAUUUUUAGUAGAGAUGGGGUUUCACCAUGUUGGCCAGGCUGGUCUCGAACUCCUGGGCUCAAGUGAUCUGACUGCCUCAGCCUCCCAAAGUGGUGCUAUUACAGGUGUGAGCCACCUCGCCUGACCUAAAAACACUUUUCAGCUCCAAUUUUAAACUUAAAAUUUUUCUUAUUUUAAAAACAACAUAUGCAUGUAUUAUCAAAUACAGGAAAAUAUGAAGAGACAGAAGUACUUACUGAUCAUAAUCCUACCACCAGAGACAUCACUAUGAAUAUGUUUGUACAUUUUUUUCCUGUGCAUUCUAAAACAUAGUUAAGAUUAUGCUAAAUAUACAGUUCUCAUGCUCUUUUAUGUCAGAAGUGUUUUCCCAUGACAUUUUAAACCCCAUAGACAUAAUUUUCUAAUGGCUACAUACUAUUCUAUCUAACCAUUUCCAGAGGUUGGAUAUUUAUCCAGCUUCUGAGACUUCCUGUUAUAAAACAACACUUUGAUGAACAUCUUGGUACAUAAAUCUUUUGCAUGUGACUACUUCCUUAGGACAGAUUCCUAGAAGUGAAAUUCUGGGUCAAAGAGUAGUAAUAUUUUAAAGGCUGUUUAUGCAUACUGACAAGCUGCUUCCUGGCAAUUUGUCCAAACUUUUACUCUGACUAGCAUUGUAUGGGAGCUUCCCUGAGUGAAUGCUGCCUUUGAAGUGGGGUCAGAGACUGAGGACCAAGGGGCACAGAGAAAGAAGAGUGUGGUCCUCGAUGGGAGGACCCAUCACAAACCGUCUUGCACAGUGUAAACCCUGGAGAGGGGCUGAAGAAACCACUGCAGCCCGGGGCCGCCCAUUCUACCUGGCCCAUGGUAGGCACUCAAGAAAUGGUUUGCUACGUGAAUAAACAAAUCCACAAACAUAUAUUUCUGAAUUCCUAUCAUGCGUCAAACACAAGAGAUAGGGAGAGAGGAGGAAAAGAAAAGCAAGGGAUCAUGGGAUAAAAGGGGACAGUGGCAGUGGGGUGGACAGAAGUCAGAACUAAAUUUACCUCAUGCUUUAAUUCGGCGAGUUUUCUUAGAAUAGUCUGACCAUUGCUUACGUUGAGGGUCUAUAGUCCUCCCUUCCCCACAAGACAAAGUCCAACCUAAUUCAGCACCAAGAUCCAAGCAGCUUGGAAGAUACAGGAGGGAAAAUUCUGGUGUAGAUUAAGUGCCACCCCCCAGCAAUGGCCAGGACACAGCAGCAAUGUUACCUAAGAAAGCAACUGCGCCUCUUGCUGAUCAGCUAGACAUGAGGGCAGUGUCCUACCUCAGCGGUUUGCAGCGGACAUGCUGUCAGGCCAUUGGGAUAGUUCCCAUAAGCCACUCCUGGUUGUCACCACUAUUCCAAGUGGGCAGGAGCAGCCUUAUUGACUGAGAUGGGCGGCUAUGGACACACAUGGGUGUACGCAUGUGAUGGAAAUGGGGGCUUGGGGCCCUGAGGGUCCACAGGGGCUGCGUGGUCAGGGAGGGUGGGCAUGGCAUCACAGGCACCCCAGGGGAGAAGCUGGCUUUCUUCCCAUACUUUUGGCACUGUUUUCUGUUUUGUUUGCCUUCAAAGAGCAAGUGAUGGCUGGACAGCAAAGAGGAGUGGAGGCCGGGAGAAUGGGCAGCUAGCCCAGCGCUCUCCAAUAUCUGGGAGUCGACCGCACUCCUGCACUCCCUGUCAUCCCUGCUAAUGGUGAGGAACUGAGCAAAAGAGCCUCCAGAGUGACAGAUGAGGAAACUCAGGCAUGGAGAGGUUGAGCGACUUGCCCAAAUUCAUGCAGUUAGGACCUGGCAGAGCUGCGCUUUGAACCCAGGCUGCCUGGCUCUAGAGUGUGUGCACGAAACUUCACUGCCAUAUGAACAAAACUGCAGGACAUAUGUUCUCAAAGCAAAUAAGCCUCCCAGAGAGGCUUUUCCUGAUGGCUUCAAGGACCUGCCCUAGCCUGGUCUGACUUCCCAGAGGGGAUCCAGUCCCAACAUUGGCCCUAUCUUUAGACCACAUUUCCAUCCCAUUCUCAGUGAAAACCCUGAGUCAUGACAGAAGACAACCAAUGCUGGAGAGAGGAGGUUUCAGGUAAUGCCUGUUUUAGGCAUCCUCUCCUUUAAGAAAAAUUUUUAUAUCAAGGCACCUCAACAUAAUAAUACCUUUAUUGCAUAUAGGUAGAAUAUAAAACUGACUUGUAAGACCACUCUGUGUGUGUGUGUGUGUGUGUGUGUGUGUGUGUUCUCUAGCUAGCCUGCAGGGACGGGACUCAGUUCCUCAGCAGCCCAGUGCCUGGCACAACAGGCAUUGAAUUAGAAGUGCCAGACAUUUUCAAACUUUAAGGUAUAAUUUGUUUGGACACUUUGGCUGGGCAUUUUGAUAAAACAUCCCUAGUUAAAAGAUGGCAACCAACAGGCAUCAAACCAAAACCACCCUCAAAGAGCAAAAUAUAAGGCCUUUGUAACAAGAGUCACAGAGUUAUGGCUGGCCGCGGUGGCUCAUGCCUGUAAUCCUAGCACUUCGGGCCGUCUCUAUUAAAAACACAAAAAUUAGCCAGGUGUGGUGCUGCAUGCUUGUAAUCCCAGCUACUUGGGAGGCUGAGGAAGGAGAAUUGCUUGAACCUGGGAGACAGAGGUUGCAGUGAUCGCUCCACGGCACUCCAGCUUCACUGCACUCCAGCCUGGGUGAUGGAGGAAAAAAAAAAAGCAAACUCACCGAGUUACAGAAUCAGCCAUUCUAUGGAGCCAGAAAGAGGCGCCUCAGGGAGAAUCUGUGACUCAAGAACACUUGCUGAGGGUCCCGGGCUUAGGUGCUUUGAACUUCGCUAAGGGCAGUCUUCUAGUUCUCUGUUCUUCCCUUCCAGGAGGACAACAGUCAGAAUACCCCCAAGACGUCCUUCUUUCCCUAAGGUCUCAAAAUCCUUGCCUCAAGAAGUUAUUCCUGAAGUCUAGCUUGAAUUCCUCCAGAUAGAGUUUAAACCAGACAAACAGCCUACGAACAUGUUACAAUAUUCAAAAACUUCUAAUUUAGUCACCAUCACUUGCAAAUAGGGAUAUCUCAUGGAAAUACG
rnacentral:lncRNA from 10 species